rnacentral:rRNA from 1 species
UCCUACGGGAGGCAGCAGUGGGGAAUUUUCCGCAAUGGGCGAAAGCCUGACGGAGCAAUACAGCGUGAGGGAAGACUGCCUAUGGGUUGUAAACCUCUUUUUUCAGGGAGGAAUAAAUGACGUGUACCUGAAGAAUAAGCAUCGGCUAACUCCGUGCCAGCAGCCGCGGUAAGACGGAGGAUGCAAGUGUUAUCCGGAAUCACUGGGCGUAAAGCGUCUGUAGGUGGUUUAAUAAGUCAACUGUUAAAUCUUGAGGCUCAACUUCAAAAUCGCAGUCGAAACUAUUAGACUAGAGUAUAGUAGAGGUAAAGGGAAUUUCCAGUGGAGCGGUGAAAUGCGUAGAUAUUGGAAAGAACACCGAUGGCGAAAGCACUUUACUGGGCUAUUACUAACACUCAGAGACGAAAGCUAGGGUAGCAAAUGGGAUUAGAUACCCCAGUAGUCCUAGCCGUAAACAAUGGAUACUAGAUGUUGAACAGAUCGACCUGUGCAGUAUCAAAGCUAACGCGUUAAGUAUCCCGCCUGGGAAGUAUGCUCGCAAGGGUGAAACUCAAAGGAAUUGACGGA